AGGACUAUAGCUCAGCGGUAGAGAUUCUGCUUUGCAUGCAGAAGGUUCCAGGUUCAAUCCUCGACAGUUAGGGCUA